ACAGAGGUGGCAAGCGUUGUUCGGAAUUACUGGGCGUAAAGAGCGUGUAGGCGGCCAGAUAGGUCAGCUGUGAAAACUCGAGGCUCAACCUCGAGACGUCGGUUGAAACCAUCUGGCUAGAGUCCGGGAGAGGAGAGUGGAAUUCCUGGUGUAGCGGUGAAAUGCGCAGAUAUCAGGAAGAACACCCGUGGCGAAAGCGGCUCUCUGGAACGGUACUGACGCUGAGACGCGAAAGCGUGGGGAGCGAACAGGA
rnacentral:rRNA from 1 species